CUGACGCUGAGGCACGAAGGCCAGGGGAGCGAAAGGGAUUAGAUACCCCUGUAGUCCUGGCAGUAAACGGUGCACGCUUGGUGUGCGGGGAAUCGACCCCCUGCGUGCCGGAGCUAACGCGUUAAGCGUGCCGCCUGGGGAGUACGGUCGCAAGAUUAAAACUCAAAGAAAUUGACGGGGACCCGCACAAGCGGUGGAGUAUGUGGCUUAAUUCGAUGCAACGCGAAGAACCUUACCUGGGCUUGACAUGUAAUGAACAACAUGUGAAAGCAUGCGACUCUUCGGAGGCGUUACACAGGUGCUGCAUGGCCGUCGUCAGCUCGUGUCGUGAGAUGUUUGGUUAAGUCCAGCAACGAGCGCAACCCCUGUUGCCAGUUACCAGCACGUAAAGGUGGGGACUCUGGCGAGACUGCCCAGAUCAACUGGGAGGAAGGUGGGGACGACGUCAGGUCAGUAUGGCCCUUAUGCCCAGGGCUGCACACGUACUACAAUGCCCAGUACAGAGGGGGCCGAAGCCGCGAGGCGGAGGAAAUCCUAAAAACUGGGCCCAGUUCGGACUGUAGGCUGCAACCCGCCUACACGAAGCCGGAAUCGCUAGUAAUGGCGCAUCAGCUACGGCGCCGUGAAUACGUUCCCGGGUCUUGUACACACCGCCCGUCACAUCAUGGAAGCCGGUCGCACCCGAAGUAUCUGAAGCCAACCGCAAGGAGGCAGGGUCCUAAGGUGAGACUGGUAACUGGGAUGAAGUCGUAACAAGGUAGCCGUAGGGGAACCUGCGGCUG
rnacentral:rRNA from 1 species